rnacentral:hammerhead_ribozyme from 1 species
AUCGAGAUGACGAGUCCGAAAUAGGACGAAACGCGCUUCUUGAAU